rnacentral:sRNA from 1 species
GCUGGGUGUGGUGGCUCACGCCUGUAAUCCCAGCACUUUGGGAGGCUGAGGUGGGCGGAUCACCUGAGGUCAGGAGUUUGAGACCAGCCUGACCAACAUGGAGAAACCCCAUCUCUA